UGGCUCAGUUGGUAGAGCAUGGUGUUUGCAACACUAGAGUUAUGGGUUCGAUUCCCAC
rfam:Salmo salar isolate Sally breed double haploid chromosome ssa25, whole genome shotgun sequence.